ensembl:lncRNA
CUGUGUUAUGGCAAAGUUACAGCUAUGUUGUGUUGGAGUGUGACAUUCAAAACAAGACAGGUAAGUACAAAUCCUUUAUUUAAAAUAUAAAAGAUAACAACAUGAAAAAUAUUUUCAUUACAGUCAUGCAUAAAACAGUUCCUCCUGUUCAAGGUCAACAUAGCAGAUCAUCUCCCUCCAGCUCCGUCUAUUCCCAGCAUGCUCCUCUGUCACACCAACACUGCAAGUCCUCCUGAUGGCUGACCCCAGGCUCUGCAUCUGCUCCCUACUGUCACCACAGAUCACAGUGUCAUCUGCAAACAUCAUAGUUCACAUAGACUCCUGCCUCAUCUCAUCAGUCACCCACAUCACCAUUGGAAACAAGAAGGGGCUCAGAGCUGAUCACUGAUGUAAUCUCAUCUCCUGAACCUACCUGUCAGUAAAACCUACGCCUCAGCACUGUCUCACAUCCUUAUGUCUCAUGACCUGGCCCAUCCUCACAUACUUCUCUAGAUCCUCUAGAUCCAAAAAUACUCAGUGAAACUCAUUCUGACCUUCUAUAUUCUUCUCUAUCAACACUCUCAAAGCAAACGUCACAUCUGUAUUCCUCUUUCUCAGAAUAAAGUCAUAUUCCUUACUGAUGAUCACUUCUCUUCUUAACUAGCUUCACAGUACAGGGCCCUUGGCAGCUCAUAGUCACUGAGUCAACCACAAACUCCUUUUUUUUACUGAAUUAUUUAAGCACCAUGAAUACAAAGUAGAAUAUUAGUGAAGUAAAAAUCAUUUUACCAUAAUUUUCACCAUCAUCAGUCUUCUGCCAAAUUAUUUUAAUGUUUCUACAGCUUUAGACAGAGCAGAGGAUGGGAUAUAGGAUAUAUGUCAGGUACAUUUUUUAAAAUAAGUUUACCAGAAGUUACAGAAGUGUAUACAUAGCAACUUUGUGUUACUCUGAGGCAUGUAUUUAUGUCUACGUCUGAGUUACAGCUGAUGGUUUUAGGUGAUCCUUGUUACACUGUAUUUAACUGCUGUUCAACUGUAUUCAGUUUAACAGUAAAAAAUGCCAUGCAUUUAAAGUGUGCAUGUAACUCACAUGGUAUAACGGCAAGAUAUAAAAUAUUAAAUUUUAGAUAUUUUAUUGCUAUAAAAAAUGCAUUUCAUUUCAGCAACACAUUGCAGAACAUUUUGGACAGCGGCAACAAACGAUUUGUAUUGUUUCUUAAAGUGCUUAAAACAAGAUAAACAUUUUACAUUGAGCUGUAUAAAACGUAUAUAAAGACCCUUAGAUGGAAGCUGAGUUUUAGAGAAGUAAAGAUGUGGAGGGGUCAUCAGUCUGUGAAAGAAACAUUUUGGGGGUUCAGUCAACUAAAGAUUCAGCGAAUCUAGAGAUUCUACACACAGAAUCCAUACAUGCAAAUUUAAACCCAGCAAACAUCUCCUAAUAUUGGUGUCUAUGGGGUGCAGAUUUAAUAAACUGAGGGAGUAAAAUUAAUACUUACACAAAGACACAUCGAUUUAUCUUCCAAAGAAUUAUUAAAUAAACAUGUAGAAAAU